AUUGAACGCUGGCGGCAGGCAUAACACAUGCAAGUCGAGCGAGCGGCGGACGGGUGAGUAAUGUCUGGGAAACUGCCUGAUGGAGGGGGAUAACUACUGGAAACGGUAGCUAAUACCGCAUACCAUCAGAUGUGCCCAGGGGGGAUUAGCUAGUAGGUGGGGUAACGGCUAACCUAGGCGACGACACCUAGCUGGUCUGAGAGGAUGACCAGCCACACUGGAACUGAGACACGGUCCCGACACCUACGGGAGGCAGCAGUGGGGAAUAUUGCACAAUGGGCGCAAGCCUGAUGCAGCCAUGCCGCGUGUGUGAAGAAGGCCUUCGGGUUGUAAAGCACUUUCAGCGGGGAGGCGUUACCCACAGAAGAGGCACCGGCUCACUCCGUGCCAGCAGCCGCGGUAAUUC
rnacentral:rRNA from 1 species